rnacentral:lncRNA from 1 species
UUUGAAUGUCAGUGGAUCCAGUGAGAGCUCAAGCUCAAAACAUUACCAUUUAUUUAGUCAAAUACCCUGAUUUACUCCAAGCAGAAGAGACUUCCACAUUGACACUAGGGAGCAAUCAGCUGUGUCCAUUCCAAGUGACAUAUGCAGCCGACCUCUUCCCAGCAAUUCAGAAGCCCCAGAGUGGUCUCCCUGAGCUAAAAUUUGAAGAAAGCAAAACGUAGAGGGCUGCUGCUCCAAGGGCUGCAGUGGAGAAUGCAGGUG